CAAUAGCGUAUAUUUAAGUUGUUGCAGUUAAAAAGCUCGUAGUCGGAUUUUGGCUGAGAACGAUCGGUCCGCCGUUAGGUGUGCACUGAUUGGUCUCAGCUUCCUGGUGAGGAGGUGUGCUUCACGGCCACUUAGUCACCGUGGUUACUUUGAAAAAAUUAGAGUGUUCAAAGCGGGCUUACGCUUGAAUAUAUUAGCAUGGAGUAACACCAUAGGACUCCUGUCCUAUUUCGUUGGUCUCGGGACGGGAGUAAUGAUUAAGAGGAACAGUUGGGGGCAUUCGUAUUUCAUUGUCAGAGGUGAAAUUCUUGGAUUUAUGAAAGACGAACUUCUGCGAAAGCAUUUGCCAAGGAUGUUUUCAUUGA
rnacentral:rRNA from 1 species